CAGAUCAUGUAAGAAUUUAAUGGUCGAACAGACCAAAACUAGUAAAAUUUUGCACUUACUAUUUAUCUUAAUUCAACAUCGAGGUCGCAAACCUUUACAUCGAUAUGAACUCUCCGUAAAGAUUACGCUGUUAUCCCUAAGGUAAGUUAAUCUUAUAAUCAAAAAUUCUGGAUCAAAAAUACAUAAAUCAAUGAAAAAAAAAUAAUUAAAAGUUUUAAAAAUUUCAAUGUCGCCCCAACAAAAAUUUCUCUUCUAAAAAAUCAUUAUAUAAACAAAAAAUAAAAAUUUAUAAAGAAAGUUAACUUCUAUAGGGUCUUCUCGUCCUAUAAAAAAAUUUUAGCUUUUUAACUAAAAAAUUAAAUUCAAAAUCAUUAAAAUAAGAAAGUUUAUUUUUCAUCAAACCAUUCAUUCUAGUCUUCAAUUAAAAGACAAAUGAUUAUGCUACCUUCGUACAGUUAAAAUACCGCAGCCUUUUAAUAUUAUUAAUCAAUGGGCAGGUCCGAUCUAAAAAUAAAAUCUAAAAACCAUGUUUUUGUUA
rnacentral:rRNA from 1 species